rnacentral:lncRNA from 1 species
CUGUGUGCGUAAAAUCGGGCAAUUUCCGUCAGCGCAAUCUGCUAGUGGGGCGACAAAGCUCUUGUUGUAUAAGGAAAAGUACAUAAGCAUACCCCCACCACGCUUUCCGCACUUCGAAGUUACACAGAAUCGAAAAAUAAAGUUGAAAAUGGUUGAAAAUGGCAAGGAUAAAUGAUAUCUUAUCAUCAUCGGAUGAUGAGGAUUUUACCAAGAUCGUUGAUCGCAGACCAAAAAUUGUGCGGAGGCGUCCCAAUUUUCAUGAGGAAAUGGAUGAAGUUGAUUUCCGAACUCGUUUUAUGUUAUCCAGAGGAAGCGUUAAUGCUCUUUUAUUGAAAAUUCGACAAGAGCUGGAACAUGCAACAGAGCAGUAAAUAAAUUGCUCCAAAAAAUACGUUUCUAGUAUUUAUCUUUGUAGCCAAAGGCAUGCGAAAUUCAUUCUAUACGAUAUUAUAAUCAGAGUUUGCGUUUAACAAUUGUUCUGCUGGCCUUAAGAUUUUAUGAUACUGGAUGUCACUGGCUCUCAGCAGCUGACUUUAGUGGCUUAACCAAAACAAGCGUGCACAGAAUUGUGCAUCGUGUCACUGUUGCCAUUGCCCACCUUCCACCACGUUUCAUAUGAUUCCCUUUACUGCCAAAUGAAAUCAGAAAUGCGCAAAUCCGAUUUUUGGAUAUCGCAUGAUUUCCAAGAGUUUUUGGGUGCAUGGACUGUACACAUGUGAAAAGCCAAUUAUACAGCAGGGAUCAUGCAGAAUAUUUCCGGAAUUGCAAGGGUUAUUUUUCAAUAAAUGUGCAAGCGAUCUGUAACGCCAAUUUAGAAUUCAUUGAUAUAGUAGGACGGUGGCAGGAAUCCGUACAUAACAGUACAAUCAUAGAUAUAUUGAACUAUAAUAUAUCUAUGGUACAAUAUUCAAUAAUUCUAGGAUUCGUGCCCUGUUUGAAGCUGACACAUUUGGCGAUGCAAUUUUACUCGGUGAUGGCGGGUAUCCGGUUCGCUCCUAUUUAAUGACACCACUUCCAAACCCUCGAACUUGAGCAGAACAACUGUACAAGUCCCAAAUCAGAACACGUAAUGCCAUUGAACGUAUGUUUGGGAUUUGGAAAAAAAAAUUUCCAAUACUACCACUGGGAUCUCGCCUUCAAACAAUUGAAAAAACUCUGCGAGUGAUUGUUGCAACUGCUGUUCUGCAUAACAUCGCUCGAUGAGCUGGUGAUCCGUUACCACCGGACGAUCCAGCUGUAAACAUGCCUGCAUUAUGGAAUGAACUAGUGCUACAAGGAGACAUGCCUGCUGUUAAUCACGCACAUGUAAUUAAUCCUGUGCAAAACAUAUUAAUUAACGAGUAUU